AUUAGAUACCCUGGUAGUCCGCGCCGUAAACGAUGGAUGCUGGGUGUCCGGGGCGUUCAGGCCCUGGGUGCCGGAGCGAAAGCGGUAAGCAUCCCACCUGGGGAGUACGCCGGCAACGGUGAAACUCAAAGGAAUUGACGGGGGCCCGCACAAGCGGAGGAACAUGUGGUUUAAUUCGAUGAUACGCGAGGAACCUUACCCGGGCUUAAAUUGCACCUGAAUAAUGUGGAAACAUGUUAGCCGUAAGGCAGGUGUGAAGGUGCUGCAUGGUUGUCGUCAGCUCGUGCCGUGAGGUGUCGGCUUAAGUGCCAUAACGAGCGCAACCCCUACCGACAGUUGCUAACAAGCGAAGUUGGGGACUCUGGCGAGACUGCCGGCGCAAGCUGCGAGGAAGGCGGGGAUGACGUCAAAUCAGCACGGCCCUUACGUCCGGGGCGACACACGUGUUACAAUGGCAGGCACAGAGAGAAGCGACAUGGCGACAUGAAGCGGAACUGGUAAAACCUGUCUCAGUUCGGAUUGGAGUCUGCAACCCGACUCCAUGAAGCUGGAUUCGCUAGUAAUCGCGCAUCAGCCAUGGCGCGGUGAAUACGUUCCCGGGCCUUGUACACACCGCCCGUCAAGCCAUGGAAGCCGGGAGUGCCCGAAGUGUGCGACCCCCAAAAGGACCCUAAGGUAAAACCGGUGACUGGGGCUAAGUCGUAACAAGGUAGC
rnacentral:rRNA from 1 species